UGUAAGCGUAUACCAAAGUUGUUGCAGUUAAAACGCUCGUAGUCGGAAUUUGGCAGUUCCGGAUGUGUGCACGUCGUGUGCGCACUUCGCGGGGAUUGCUUUUGUGGUCUUGCGUAGGAUGAGGCACUUUUAUUAGUGAACGUCCUCACGCAACCACUUUUUACUGUGAGAAAAUCAGAGUGCUCAAAGCAGGCAUUUGCCGUGAAUGUAUUAGCAUGGAAUAAUAGAAUAGGACUUGGUUCUAUUUUGUUGGUUUGUUGGGACUGAGUAAUGAUUAAGAGGGAGAGUUGGGGGCAUUUGUAUUUCGGUGCUAGAGGUGAAAUUCUUAGAUUACCGAAAGACAAACUGCUGCGAAAGCGUCUGCCAAGGAUGUUUUCAUUGA
rnacentral:rRNA from 1 species